CUAUAAGACUGGGAUAACUUCGGGAAACCGGAGCUAAUACCGGAUACGUUCUUUUCUCGCAUGAGAGAAGAUGGAAAGACGGUUUUGCUGUCACUUAUAAAUGGGCCCCCGGCGCAUUAACUAGUUGGUGAGGUAAUGGGUCACCCAGGCGACGAUGCGUAACCCACCUGAGAGGGUGAUCGGCCACACUGGGACUGAGACACGGCCCAAACUCCUACGGGAGGCAGCAGUAGGGAAUCUUCCGCAAUGGACGAAAGUCUGACGGAACAACGCCCCGUGAACGAAAAAAGCCUUCGGGUCCUAAAGUUCUGUUGUUAGGGAAGAACAAGUACCAGAAUAACUGCUGGUACCUUGACGGUACCUAACCCGAAAGCCACGGCUAACUACGUGCCAGCAGCCGCGGUAAUACGUAAGUGGCAAGCGUUGUCCGGAAUUAUUGGGCGUAAAGCGCGCGCAAGUGGUUCCUUAAGUCUGAUGUGAAAGCCCACGGCUCAACCGUGGAGGGUCAUUGGAAACUGGGGAACUUGAGUGCAGAAGAGGAAAGUGGAAA
rnacentral:rRNA from 1 species